AGGAGGAACAACCCCAGUGGUGGGGCCAGCUCUGGAGCCCUGGAAUCCGCUCCCGCAGUAACUACGGAGCUCUCCGUCUGCAGGGCCUGGAGGCUCCGGGGCGGG
rnacentral:pre_miRNA from 1 species